GACGAACGCUGGCGGCGUGCCUAAUACAUGCAAGUAGAACGCUGAAGAGAGGAGCUUGCUCUUCUUGGAUGAGUUGCGAACGGGUGAGUAACGCGUAGGUAACCUGCCUUGUAGCGGGGGAUAACUAUUGGAAACGAUAGCUAAUACCGCAUAACAAUGGAUGACCCAUGUCAUUUAUUUGAAAGGGGCAAAUGCUCCACUACAAGAUGGACCUGCGUUGUAUUAGCUAGUAGGUGAGGUAACGGCUCACCUAGGCGACGAUACAUAGCCGACCUGAGAGGGUGAUCGGCCACACUGGGACUGGGACACGGCCCAGGCUCCUACGGGAGGCAGCAGUAGGGAAUCUUCGGCAAUGGGGGCAACCCUGACCGAGCAACGCCGCGUGAGUGAAGAAGGUUUUCGGAUCGUAAAGCUCUGUUGUAAGUCAAGAACGAGUGUGAGAGUGGAAAGUUCACACUGUGACGGUAGCUUACCAGAAAGGGACGGCUAACUACGUG
rnacentral:rRNA from 1 species